rnacentral:lncRNA from 1 species
CUUUCUCUUCUUUCCUAACCUUCCAUCUUCUUCCCUUUUUUAUUCAAACUUCCAUCUUCUUCCCCAUCUAUAAUAAAUUAUAUCCAGCUUUAACAAGGUUUUAUUUUUAUAAUAAUCUUUCCUUUCUCUCUCACUCUCUUCAUUCUCAUUUUUUAUUCAAGUUUCUCUCUCACACUCUCUUCAUUCCCAUUUCUUAUUUAUGUUUUUUAUUCCGUUUUUCGUUUGGGACUUUUAUCAAACAUAUGGGAACCUUGGUUGACCAUGGUUCCUUUUGUUGUUUGAUUUCAUUACUCUGCAGUAGU